rnacentral:hammerhead_ribozyme from 1 species
AGCCGAAACCGGGAAAACCCCGGUCGGCCGGGAAUGGCCUCCCGGUCCUGAUGAUGGCGGGCCGUG